AUCACACAGUACACAGUACACAGUACACAGUACACAGUACACAGUACAGAUUAGUCGCUUUGUUCAAUGUCAAUGACUUGCUAAAGCCAGUGGCAAAAUGAGGAAGGGUGGCUAGACGGUGUGCCAGACCAAGCGCCGAAAGCCAGAGAAAGUGUGAGAUUUCACCGUAACAUUGUGAAAAUGUACAAUGCGUGUGCUAGCCGUGACGGUAAACAAUGAUAGAACUUUAGAGCUAAACAUGGCAAUUGAAUAGCUUAGAUCCUUAGCGCUUUGGAUUAUUAUAACAACCCAGUAAAGGAAGGAAAAGCGCAAUGUGUGUGUCUUUCGUGUUUUACUUGGCAUCCACUGCUAAAGCAACUCCAUUUUUUCCCGAACGAGCUUUGGUGUUCCCUGAACGGAAAUGGACGGACUUUCGGAAAGACUAAGCCGCGAUGAAGGCCAGAGAUUCCUUGAUUUGUUCUUGGGAUACGUGCCUCAGCUGUCAAGCUUCGCUAGUGGUAACGGCACGGCGCUUCUUGCUACUCCUGGACCAAUUGACGCCCCACUGGUGUUCUGGGGACCGAAUCUCUUUCACCAGACUGCUACGAUGAGUGUGUGUUACAGACAUGGAGAAGGCGAUGAGUAUGUACAAUCGGCGGUGGACGUCAUGCAGCGACUAUCAGCAUUGCCACACGCGUAUACGCUGGCUAAAUUCGGACAAGCGACUGUUGCAAAUCUCCUCGUUGGAGAAAUGACGGCAAUUGCUUCCGACCUGAUACUGUCAGCCGUGCAUCGAGCGCUUGGUUCCAUCCGAUUAUAUGUGUACCUGCAAGUUGGCCCCAACGGUUGCAAGUAUGUGACCGUUCAUCAGGUAAUAUUAACAAUGUUUGAUGAAGUAUAGUCAUGAAUAAGUACACUUACUGCAGAAAAGGCAAUUAUGUGGUGAAGAAAACGGGAAACCAUUCUUAUCUUCCGCUCAUUACUUUAUUGAAGAAGCCUAUUGCUUGGUAGCUCAAACCUCUUAGGAGGUGAAACAACUUUUACAGAAGAAGUGCCAUUUUCUCUGUUCUAAGUUGUUCUCUAGCAUGUAUACAUGAUUUUCUUAUGGGGAUACAUGUAGACUACGUAUGCAUUUUGUUGUACUUAGGAGGCGUCGAAAUUCAGAAAAUUGCGUUUUUUGUACUUUCAAGUGGCCAUAAAUACAAUAAAAUGCAUAAGUAUCCCCAUAAUAUGAAUAUCAUUUCUAGGGUCUAUGCAUGCCAGAGAACAACUUAGAACAGAGAAAGCGGCACUUCUUCUGUAAAGUUUGUUUCACGGUCAAAGUGGUUCGAGCUACAUUGUAUUAUAAUCUGCUAAGCACAUUUUUUACAUACGCUAUGUAUCAGUCAUGCACACACCAUGCAUCAAUGGUGCCUCCGCCAUACAUGUACAUGUACAUGUACAUGCAUACGCCGCGCAGAAACUGUUUGUACAUGUGACUAUCAUGCUGUCGGUAAUUUAGGGUGUGAAAGGCUGGCGGUAAUUCAUCAUAACUCCGUUGGUCCACCAUGUUAUUGUUACUUAUUUGGUGCUUCUUGGAUAGAAUGCGUUUGAGUGUUUGCGCUGAUAUGAAUGAUGCGGUGAUUGCUUUCAUCAGGUCCAUUU